GUGACACUAAGUCGGUCUUAUUUCAACUACCAAAGGAAGAACGUCUGAGGGUAUGUGAAACGACAAUCCUUGAAAGAGGGGGAAUACAAACUCUAUUUGGACCUGUUAGCUCCACCCAAUCCCAACCUGAUCGUUUAAGUGUUCAAGGUGGGAGACGGUAAGAAGAUGUGUCACAUGAGAUCUUCGCUCAGGGGGAUAUUAAGCACAAUAAAGAAUCGGAGAUAUAAAGAAGAAGAACAAACUCAAGUGUGCAGGGGGUGAAGCGUGGAUAGGCGUGGUCGGUGAACUGCUGUAUAAUUACAUCAUGUCUUUUCUGCAUAAUGCUGUUGCUUUUCAAACAACAUAUAAUUACAGAGCACAGAACUCUCCUGGAACACGUCCACAUGCGGCUCCCGCUGCCCAACGGAUGGAACCAACUGUUCUCAAUCCCUCACAUGGUCUAAAAGAGCGUUUUAGUGCAUUUUUGUGUGCUGGUCUGAAGGAGCGUUUUUACUGCUUUAGUCCAGUCACAUAUUUUUUUUCAUUGACAGUGAUGAUUCCUAUUCAUGUCCUAUCAAAUUUUCCAGUAUUAAUAAAUACUGUAAUGCUACCAUUGUACAGCAAAGUAUCCGAUGUUGAUACCUCUGUACUUAUCAAGAAUGUCAAAAUUACCAGCACUGGGGUAUCAAGUGAACACUAUCCUUUACAAAUUAUUUGCAAAAUUCCAUUGUUUUUAAUGUUCGCCCUGCUGUAUAUUUGUUUAUUUGUUCUUUAUUUUUGACUAUUUACAAAAAUAUUUUUUUGUGUUUACUUUACAUUUACAUAAAUUAAUGCAUUUGGCAGAUACUAUUAUCCAUGUGGCUCACAUUGCAUAAUAAUAUAUCCUAUACUAUAUUUUGCAUGGCAUUGCAUUAUACUGUAGCCUUCUUCACUGAGAAAUGUUUGGAGGCUAUAUGCGGUUGCUUUUAUUAAACCAAAAAAAAGUGUUAACUUGCAAUCAGUCCAAACCUACAUGACGUUCUGCAGAGCACAAAAGAAGACAAACAUUCACUGUUCAGGCCGGCCCAAGCCUUUACGAGCCCCUAUGCAGAAUUUUAUUUUUAUUUGAUAACCAUUACAUUUUGUGUCAUAUUUUUCUUUUGCACUAAAUGUUGUACUGUGCAAAUUAUGUAGUCUGUGUAUUUGUCUUAGCAAAUUGGUCCUGGGAGAUCACUGUUUCGUUUCACUGUGUACUGCACUGUAUCCCAAAUAAAACGCCAUGUUGACAGAUAAUUAUAAAUUAAAUGAAUUACGUAAAUGAUAGCCUUGAUGCCCGAUGACUCCUGAGAUAGGCACAGGCUCCCCGUGACCCGAGUAAGUUCGGAUAAGCGGUAGAAAAUGGAAUGGAAUGGAACGUAAAUGAUAUCAUUUUUAUACAACUCAGCAUUUUGACAUUUGCAUCAGUGAAUAUUGUCGGAUUUUCAACAUUUCUAUCUCUAAAGAAUAAACAGUUGUCAAUUAUUGAAUGUUUCAAGUCACUUUAGAUAUACUGACACACGUUAA